AGCCCUCUGUAUUCGUCCUGAGAUUUAGUCAGCGAUCAACCCACUGGCGAUGGCUGAUGAAACUCCACAAAUAAGUGAAGUG
rnacentral:pre_miRNA from 1 species